AGUGAACGCUGGCGGUAGGCCUAACACAUGCAAGUCGAACGGCAGCACAGUAAGAGCUUGCUCUUACGGGUGGCGAGAGGCGGACGGGAGAGGAAUACAUCCGAAUCUACUUUUUCGUGGGGGUUAACGUAGGGAAACUUACGCUAAUACCGCAUACGACCUACGGGUGAAAGCAGGGGAUCUUCGGACCUUGCGCGAUUGAAUGAGCCGAUGUCGGAUUAGCUAGUUGGCGGGGUAAAGGCCCACCAAGGCGGCGAUCCGUAGCUGGUGUGAGAGGAUGAUCAGCGACACUGGAGCGGAGACACGCACCAGACUCCUACGAGACGCAGCAGUGGGGAAUAGUAGACAGUGGGCGCAAGCCUGGUCCAACCAUACCACGUGGGAGAAGAAGGCCUUCGGGUUGUAAAGCCGUUUUGUUGGGAAAGAAAAGCAGCCGGUUAAUACCCCGCUGUUCUGACGGUAACCAAAGAAUAAGCACCGGCUAACUUCGUG
rnacentral:rRNA from 1 species